rnacentral:lncRNA from 1 species
UGAAACAAGCGAAAUGUGAUUGUUCCAUUAUAGUAAAUAACAACGCAUGCCUACAUUUUGGUUGGAGCAAGAAACAGGAAUCUAAUGUUUUGCCAGCCAUGCAUGUGUAAUAACGACGCAUGCGAGUACUGCUGAAUAUAUGAUCCAUAAAUCAGAAGUGCACAUGGUACAAAGUACAACAACCACAUGUAUCUCCUCAACGGGAGAGAAGUAACAACCAAACAUCGAUACAAUAGUGUGACCGGCCAUGCAGAACUGGCUCGACAUACAUACUCCUCUCUGUCUCACAUGAACAGCAUUUAUUCGUAUAUCUGUGUGUGUGUGUGUGUGUGUGUGACCCGAACAUAGUUAGUGUCGAUGGAUGGCACUAUAGGCGGCGACCAUGGUGGCCAGUGGUUGAUCAGCGAAUCUUAGAGCAGUCCACGGAUGAGCUAAUGGCGUAGGGGAUGCUGACGCCGCACUUGGAGGGGAUGCCAGCGGCCUUUCCAGCAUUGAGCCCACCAGCAGCACUCUUAAUGCACUUGCACGCCGCUUGCUUGUCAGCGGUGCUCCGCGCUGCGCCGGCCAGACUCCUGACACCACUGCAGCAGGCCGCAGGUGGGCUGGAGCCGCUGCCGCGUGCAUAGGAGAUGCAGGGGCUCAAGGCAGAGCUCACCUGGCCACAGGAGAUUGCAGCGUCUGUGGCUGUGAGGACCAUUGCUGCCACGAGGGUGAACAACACGAGUUGAGCAGCUGCAGCACGGGCCAUCUUGAUCAAGCUAGCAAUAGUAGUAGUGCUGAGCUCAGAUGUAGAUGAUGAGAUGGAUGGACUUGCUAAGUGGUUGUACUUGUGAGGAGUUCUGUAGGGGAUGCAUGAGCUUAAAUAGGGAUUCUGGCAAAUAUGGGAUCCCAUUCGUAAUAACUGUACACAAGUAUUGCGUCCAGAUGGACCAAUUGGGUUGAUGCACGCGAGCAAAUACAUAAAUUUAGGUUGUUGUUUGAAGUUGGAAUCCAUCGAUGGUCGUUAAUGCAUUUUGCUGGAUGUUGAGUUGGGCCCCAUGGAUGGACCUAGCGUGUGCACAGCAGAUUAAUGACGGGACUAAGAGGUUUACCUAAUCUCAGUCUCUCGUGGAGUAGUGUAGUUGAGUGCAUUGAUGACAGUGAGCUCGAACCAUGAACUACAUAAAUCUGACGGUGCAUGUGAUCUUAUAGGGCUCUAGUUAAAUGACUUUACUCAUUCUGUCUCAAAUGUUAAAUUCGACAAUGUGCCAAUGUCACGGUUUGAUACUCAUCGAUGUCGUCUUCAAACGUAUAUUUUGAAUAUCGAUUUAGUUUCUAUGAAAUACUCUCUUGUCCCAUAAUAUAAGAUCGUUUCUCAAGCUAACAUAGCUUGAAAAACGAUUUUAUAUUAUGGGACGGAGGGGCGUGUCUUUCAAGUAAAUAGCAACGUAUUAUAUAUGUCAAUUUGACUAAGUAAAACAUCAACUAUAUUUGGCAAACGGCCUUGGCGAACAGAUCCUGAUAGCUCAGUGGUGAGGCGAAUACGGGUGGAUUGUGCCACUACCAUAAGGCCUAUGGUUUCUCGAACCACAUGUGUCAUGCCUCAACAUGGCAAUGGGUGCCCGCAACCCGCAAACCCGACGGGUAAAAACCCUAUUAGGGUAAGGGUUUGAGAAAAUAUAUACCCAUGGGUAUAUAAAUGGGAAGAAAUUGUACCGAGUGGGUAAGGCGGGUACGGGAUGGGAAGGCCAUACCCAUACCUGAGUACCGGCAUAUCCGCAUACGGGAAGACAACCGCCAACCUCGACCCAAAAUCCUCUCCCCUUAACCACGUGCAUGAUGUUGUUUAAAUGUGUUGAUCUUGUUUUGUGAACUCAUAAUUUUGUCUUUGAUUUUGGUGAUCUUAUUAUAUAGUCGCCUUCACUUGAUCAUUUCUAUGUAGGAAUUGCACAAGUAGCUUGAAUGAAAGAAAAUUAGAGAAAAAUGUGUCCCUCUUGUUUGUCUUGUAAUUGAAAAAAGAAGAAAGAAAAUAUGUCAAUGUUUCUCUAAGAAGUUCACUUAGAGGCUACUCAUCCAUGAUUGUAAUUGGAAAUUGUUUGGUGCCAUCUAGUUCAAGCUUAUUGUUAUCUACUUCUAAAAAAUAAUACCAUUUUUUAUUCCAUCGCACGUGGUAUAUAUGUGCUGAAAUACUAAAAUGUGGUAUAUAUGUGUUGAUUUUUUGUGUAUAUAUAUACUAAAACUCAUGCCAAUAUGGAUGGAAUUUGAGAGGUGUAACACAGAAGACUCAUCUCAUUAUGUGCCACUGAUGUAGGAUCUCAAUCUAUUAUACGAUGCCACCAUGGAAAGAGGUCCAGAGGGUGCACGCAUGGGAUGUAAAAUAGCACAAUUUGGAAACAAAAAGGUAAUGAAUAAAAAAGGGAUUUCUAUUUUCUAUUCCUAUGACCUUGGUUGCUUAGUACUCCUCAGUUUUGCCCCACACAACUAACAUCCCUCACUUUUCUCCUCCUCGCCCGACACUCAAAAAUGCCGAACCGAGCGUUUCUGUCCGGUCAACAUAGUUGACCGUUACCUGGCGCAUAUAGUGAUGCAUGGAGCACCCGGGAGCCACCUGUCAGCAUAUUUAUUAGGGAAAAAUAGUGGAAUAUAAUGAUGGUCGGGCAUCCCAGGACCCACAUGUCAGUGUCUGGUUUAUUUGCAAAAUUAAGGGUGGAAUAUAGUGCCGCCCGUGGGGGUCGAACACGAGAGCAACGGUUGACUAUGCAUAGUGUGAGCCAUUUUAGUCGGAUGUGUCUUUGUGCUUAUUUGCAGAGCCUCGACUAUAUGACCUGAAUUUUUUUAGGGAUUCUACAUUACAGAAGGGCACACGAAUCAGUGACCCUGGAAAGAAAGAACGUGCCAGUGUAAAACACAUCGGAUUCUGAGAUUCAGAAAGUCUUAACAAGCACGAUUUUUUAACAGGGGCGACAUAAGAUGGCCAGCCAGCGUCGACAGAGGCUAGUUGUCUUGAUCGAACGAAAGGAUAAUGGUGCCAUCAUCGUCGUUGUUGUGGUCUUCAUCGUCAAAGGAGAAUAGGACGACGACAUAGAGUGGCCGCCCUCUUCUGCUCUGCUCUUAAGCUGCCGCCACUUCUUCAGCCGCCCGACGCCUAACAGCCUCUGGCUGCGAUGUGGACAGAGACGCGGCUAGCACCACCUGGUUGAGCUGCUGAUGCGCCGAGCACAGGGCCUCCUCGGCCUGGGCAGUGAGCAAGACAACAUCAUAUGCAGGAGUCAUCAUAUCUUCCUCUACCUCGUCUUCCACAUUGUGGACAUCGAGGUGCUACUGCAUCGCCUCGAAGGCCACCUCCUUGGCGCCUUCCUCCUCAGCCUCCCAGCGAUUACGAGACAGCUCGGACAAUGCCUGCACGAGCUCGGAGUUCAUGGAGUAGGAGCCCAAGCCCAGCGAGCCCACGCUGGAGUUGGGGCUGGUGCCAGUCUUGGAGCCCUUGCCGGAGUUGGAGCGCGCUGCCGCUGGUGCCGGGCACCGGCGCUCUGGGGCAACGACCUCCUGUGGAGAACCUUGCGGUCAGAAGCUGCCUUACCAUGGCGGCUGUACUAUAUUUGGAUUGGAUUUCACAACGCGUGGAAGCAAUGGAGUGAAAUAUCGGUGGAACGAUUCCGAACACCGGUAUUUAAUCAAUGGAGUACCAGGAAGGGGAUACAAGUGGUGGCGGUUGAUUGUUUUCACGACAUCUAGAAUUGGCGGGAAUGCACGGUGGCGGGAAGGAGCGGUGGAGGCGGUGGCCGUGGUAAUGGAGCACCUCCGCGUGGCUCUCCCCUCUUGGUGGCAUGCGUACGGGCGGCGGCACAGCAGAGAGAGCUGCAAAUUUUGCAAAGGACCCCUUGUUGACCGAACAAUAUAUAACUAGAGCCCAAAUAGACUGGAUACUUUUCGAAAGACCCCCUGGUUAUGAAUGUGGCCCAUUCAUUUUUUAUCCAAAGUAGACCACAUACGAUACACAAUGCCCCAAUUUCAUGAAUUUUCUUGUUUAUUUCUAUAUUUCAUCCAUUUAGUGAAUUUCUAGAGAUUUAUCAGGACUUGCUCAAAUUUGAACUACAAGUGUGAUUUUUUUGGUCCUGAAAAUUAGAAAAAAUCAUUUUAUGCUUAUAAUUGGUAGUGUAGGCACUGGGCACAACCAAAGUUGAAAUUCCCAAGCAUUUGCUAGGAAUGGUCAACCUUGCAAGUUUGACCAUGUUUUGGAAAAAAAUCAAAGAAAAUAAUAAAAAAACCUCAAAAAUUGAAAACCUUUUGCAUUGAGUGAUCUUAUGUGAACAUGUUAGUAGGGAAUAUAAUAAACUUGCAAUACACAAGUUUAAAAAUUGGGUCCAUGUAUAUGUUGCACUUUUUUGGACUACUUGCAUACAUGUUGCACCAUUUUGGAGUACAUAUGUACAUGUUGCAAUUUUUUUGAUUAGCUCUGCAAGUGCAUGAUACUCUCUUUUUUUGAGGAAGAACGACAGUGGGAAAGGCUCCCACUGACUUUGUAUUACUCACAAAGGAACAAUUACAUAUGUGUUACAAAGGGUUUUUGUGGCCCCCCGGCCAUGCUAGCUAUCCACAGUCUUAGUGACCCAAGUUUACAAUGUAAUUAGACAGGAAGGGAUGAAGAUCCUCCCGGCAGUUAUGUGUUAGCAGCUCCAAGGGAUGCUUGAAUCUAGCUAGCCAUGCUCCAUAGGAGUGCUGAAUCCCUCUAAAGUGUUGAUUGUUUCUCUCCAUCCGAAGACUCCAAGCAGCCAAGAGAAAGAUAUCCAUGAAGAGAGGUUGUCUCCAAUUACCCCUACCUCCAUGCAGAAGAGCCAGUCUGUUGUCAGCUAUCGGCCAUGUCACUCCAACUACAUCCCAGGAGCGUUGACUAAAGGGGCAAUUGAAGAACAGAUGUUCCACCGUUUCCUCUCGAGGGUUUUGACAGAACAUGCAUGCAUAGGUGCCCCCCAUGACAACAAAAUGUCUGCGUUUGAGCAUAUUCCUGGUAUUCAGACGAUCAACUAGGAGUAGCCACCCAAACAUCUUGAAUUUGAUCGGGCUUUUAGCUUUCCAGAGCCAUCCAAACGCCUCAUCUGCCACAACCUGUUUGUAGCAGUGGUUAUAGAACUUCUUGGACGAAAAACGCCCGAGCAAGCAUUCCCAGACAUCACAGCUAUCGGCGGCCAGCCGAUUUUGCGGCAACCCCUCCUGGAUCUCUUUGAUUUCCUCUCUCGCCUGGGUCGAGAGAGGUAGACUAAAAAUCGUGGAUGGGUCAAUUGCAGUAAGAACCUUAGCAAUGGAGUCGUCCUCAUUCAAACAAAAUGAAAAGGCUCGUGGGUAUAUAUCCAUUAAUGGGGAAUCUUGAGUAUUAUCAAACCAAACAUCUUUCCAGAACAGAGCACUAGAUCCAUCCCCGGGGGUGACUUUAGUGAGCCCUCGGAAGAUCCCACUGAGUUGCAUCACAUCUUUCCACCAGAAAGAGCCCAUCGCCUCAGAUGCAUGCGGUAUCUUGUUUCUGUAGUAGGCAUCCCAAACAAGCUCCACUCAGGGAACAUCUUCAUGAUUAUAGAAUUUGAAAAGAUAUUUUAGGAGGAGGGCUGCAUUCUGUGUUUUAAGAUCAAUAACACCAAGGCCUCCGCAGCGUUUUGGGCGGCAGACAAGUUCCCAGGCCGCAAGAGAGUUAUUUUUGACCCCGUCGUCAGAGUUUUUAGCCCAGAGGCAAUAUCUACGCAGCUUGUCCAGAUGUUCAAUCACCUUUGGGUGUAUCUUGAUUGUGCACAUUGCAUAUAUCAGCAUCGAAGUCACAACUGAAUUGACCAAGGUCAGUUUAGCCCCGGAUGACAUCAGUGACAGCGCAGUGGAUGUCUUCCGCUCAACUGCAUGAACCAGCGGCAUAAGAUCAAGGACGCUGGGCCUCGUCGUGCCCAUUGGCAGGCCGAGGUAUGUGAAGGGCAUGGAACCAACAGAGUAACCAGAAACCCCAGCCAGUUCACAAGCACGUCGGUGAUCAAUGUUAAUGGGUAUGAGAGUUGAUUUCUGAAAAUUGAUCUUCAACCCAAUGGAAGUAGCAUAAUCUUCUAGGAUAGCUUUCAUACGGGCAGCCUGCACGGGACAUGCCUGCAUAACUAAAAUCGUGUCGUCAGCGUAUUGGACAACCGGGAAGUCACCCGCCCUAUCACGAGGGAGAGGAAGAUCAAACAGCCCUCGAGUAAAAGCAUCGUUAACUGCUGCUUGGAGGAGAUCAGCCGCAAGGACAAAGAUCAACGGUGAGAGAGGGUCCCCCUGGCGCACUCCACACUUACAGUUGAAUUUUCGACCAGGGACUCCAUUAAGGAGUACAGAAGAAACCCCCGAGCCAAAGAUCAUGUUCAUCCAUCCAAGCCAUUUGUCAUCAAAACCCAUGUGUUUCAUAAUUUCCAUCAUGGGGGCGUGCUCAAUAGUGUCAAACGCCUUGGCAAAGUCUAUUUUGAGGAGGAUGUUUUCCCUCGCUGAGGUAUGGCAUUGAUGGAUGUAUUCAAACGACCACGCUAGGCAAUCCUGGAUAGUCCUCCCUUUGAGAAAACCGUACUGAUUUCUGUGUAUGAUCUUGAGGAUGACUUUCUGUAGCCGAUUUGCCAAGAUCUUAGUGAUGAUUUUCAGACAACAAUUCAGUAAAGUAAUUGGUCUAUAAUCAUUUGCAGUUUCUGGAGAAGAGAUCUUUGGGAUCAAUGUGAUAUACCCCUCACUAAUACUGGUUAUAUCUAGCCCUCCGGCAUGAAAUGCAUGGCACAACUCAUAGAAGUCCGACUUGAUGAUCGGCCAGCAGCUCUGAAGGAAGCAACCAUUAAAACCAUCAGGACCCGGAGCCCGAUCACUCGGCAUUUCCUUAAUAACAGUGUCAAUCUCUUCAUUGGAAAAAAGGUGCCGACAAGUGCUCCGGUCCCUCAAUCGGACGGAUGAUUCUGGAAAGGUCAAAACGCAUGUGAGUGGGUUUAGAAGAACCCAACCGUUCCUUAUAGGUUUUGAACAACACCCCUUCCUUGCCAACAUGGUCAUGCAUUUCCACAUCACUGUCCCGAAGCAUGGCGAUAGAGUUAUGUCUGUAUCUCUCCGUGGCCAGGGAUUGAAAGAGGUUGGUAUUUUCAUCCGCAAAUCUGAAGUAUCUGAUCGUGCAUCUUUUCCUCCAGUAUUCAUUCUGAAACUGUAACAAUGUCUGCAAGUGAGAUUUCAAAAUUUUCCGGAAGUUUGAUUCCUGGAUAAAUAGAGGUCUUUUGUCCUCGAGAUUAUCCAUCGUAGCUAAAGAUUCAUUACAGUUUUGAAUUAUGAUUUUCAUCUUUGAGAUAUCCCGGCUCCAUCUCUUGAGAUCAUACCUCAGAGUUUUCAGUUUUUUACAAAUGCGGGCGGCAGCGUUCGGGGCAUGGCAUGCCUUGGACCAGGAGGCGGCCACCACCUCCAUAAACCCGGAAUGGUUAAUCCAAAAGUUCUCAAAACGGAAGAGUUUGGACUUGGGGAUAGAGGACUCAAUUGUAACCACACAGUGAAUAUGAUCAGACACCGGUUUUCCUAAUGGCAAGACCAUGGCAUGAUACUCUCAUUCUAUGUUGACCUAUUUUUGGUUAUUUUUGCAUGUUGCAUGUUUUUAAGUAAGUUUUGCAUGUGGCUACUUUUAGAAAAGUUUGCAUGAUGCAUUGUUCUUGAACAUGCAAAAGCCACUCAACGUAGGUAUUCCUAAAGGUAGCAUACACCAACUUUGUAAACACAUUCAAACAUAAGUUGACGACAUGAUUAAGCUUAGCAAAUCAUAGUACAACAACUUCUUAUUUUUUCAGUUUACACUGGACAUCCACAUAUUGGAUAUUUGGCACUAGCUAGAAGGGGGUUGGAGACGCUUAAGAUGAUGAGCCAGGAGGUGGUGGGACCAUUGAGAACUUUGCCCAAAUUGAGCCGAGAGCUCAUACGGCUCCACCACUAUUGGGACAGUCUUGCAACCCGGCUUGGACUCUAAGUAGGGCCGCGACAGAUCCUCCCCGACACCACCCUCCAUCCAGUCCUGGUCAUUCAUUUCCUCAUCCUCGUCAUCCACUAGAAUGGUCAGGUUCGUGUCUGCCGACGAAGGAUGAGCGAUGAUCUUCAUAUCACCAGAGAGCACACCUCUUCUGCAACCUCGUUCUGGAUGAUGAUAUCCAAACCCCCUGGUAUUUGUCGUUUUCCACAUCCUCCUCCCACUCCUCGUCAGAAUCCUCCCCCUUCUCCUUCUCCUCAUCAGAAUCCUCUUCCUUCUCCUCCUCUUCGGAAUCCUCUUGCUCCUCCUCCUCCUCGUUACAAAUCUCUCACUCCUCCUCGCCAGGAUCCUCCUCCUCCUCCUCCUCAUCAUUUGCAUCCUCCUCUUAUGUUUCCUCAUCAACGACAUCAAUAAUACGCAAAUUUACCGACCCUUUCGGCUCUGGAUUCGACGACGAUAGGCGGGAGCAAUACUCGAACCAUCGCACUCGUUGUUAAGGAUCCGGUGACCCCAUCACUUCUUCCAUUGCCCAGAGGAUAAUCUCCAUUGAGAUUGCGCCAUUGUUUUCAUGAACCGUCCGCUUCAGUUCAUCCAAUGUUACUUCCAAGGUUAGGCCCCACGAGUGCAACUCGAGAGCUUUCUCGCUCAGAAACCAGGAGCAUAUUUCCAUGCACUUGGCCAACAACUGCUCGUCUCCGGCUCAAAAUUCUUCCAUUGCCCUCUUCCAUCUAACUAGAUCUAGCAAUGAAGCAAAGACGAAUUUUGCAAAUCAAAUUAUUAAAAACGAACUCGAUUGUAAGGAUCAAAAUUACAACAUAAUCUAAAGUGGGCUCCUAUGAACGGAUCCUAAUUUCUAGUUUUUUUCUUUCAAACUAGCUGCCACUAUCACAAAUGCAACCCUAAAAAAUCUUGCAUAAUGUUUCCAAACUGGAGCAGCUCAAUUAACAACAAUUCAAUUGCUCAAUCGCCCAUUCAAUCGAAUGAUCCAAAUUGCUAGGGUUUCUAUUAGAAACGUACAUGUCGACCAAUUAUAUCGGAUGGUUCCUGCAGGCUGCGACGUAUCACCAGGUCGCUUCGCUAUCGGAGCUCAGGCGGACGGUCAGAGUGGGUGGCGGGGCUGCUAGGGCACGGCGGCGCCGGACUGCUGAUGACCCACAAGUAUAGGGGAUCUAUCGUAGUCCUUUCGAUAAGUAAGAGUGUCGAACCCAACGAGGAGCAGAAGGAAAUGACAAGUGGUUUUCAGCAAGGUAUUCUCUGCAAGCACUGAAAUUAUCGGUAACAGAUAGUUUUGUGAUAAAAUAAAUCGUAACGGGUAACAAGUAAAUGAAGUAACUAAGGUGGAGCAAGGUGGCCCAAUUCUUUUUGUAGCAAAGGACAAGCCUGGACAAACUCCUAUAUAAAGCAAAGCGCUCUCGAGGACACACGAGAAUUGUCGUCAAGUUAGUUUUCAAGCUCCCGUGGACCGGUGCUUGGGUGCUGCCCUUUCUUGGACAAGCCUCCCACUUAUGAUUAACCCCUCUCGCAAGCAUCCGCAACUACGAAAGAAGUAUUAAGGUAAACCUAACCAUAGCAUGAAACAUAUGGAUCCAAAUUAGCCCCUUGCGAAGCAAUGCAUAAACUAGGGUUUAAGCUUCUGUCACUCUUGCAACCCAUCAUCUACUUAUUGCUUCCCAAUGCCUUCCCCUAGGCCCAAAUAAUGGUGAAGUGUCAUGUAGUCGACAUUCACAUAACACCACUAGAGGAGAGACAACAUACAUCUCAUCAAAAUAUCGAACGAAUAGCAAAUUCACAUGAUUACUUUUAACAAGACUUCUCCCAUGUCCUCAGGAACAAACUUAACUACACACAAAGCAUAAUCAUAAUCAAGAUCAUAGGAGUAUUAAUUAUCAUUAAUGAUCUGAAAAUAUAAUCUUCCACUGGAUAAACCAAUUAGUAUCAAGUACAAGCAGUAAUCAACACUUCUAACCCACGGGUACCAAUAUGAGGUUUUGAGACCAAGAUCGAAUACAAGAGAUGAACUAGGGUUUGAAAGGAGAUGGUGCUGGUGAAGAUGUUGAUGGAGAUUGACCCUCCCUCGAUUAGAGGAUCAAUGGUGAUGACGAUGGCGAUGAUUUCCCCCUCCCUGUUUCCCCGGCAGAACAGCUCUGUCGGAGCCCUGGAUUGGUUCUGGCCAGGUUCCGCCUCGAGACGGUGGCGCUUCGUCCCGAAAGCUUCUUCCUGAUUUUUUCCAGGGUGAAAGACACCAUAUAGCCAAAGAUUGGCACCGGAGGCCUGCCAGGGGGCCCACAAAAUCAGGGGGCGCGCCCAGGGGGGUAGGACGCGCCCUCCACCCUUAUGGCUGGCAGGUGGCCCCCCUCUGGUUCUUUAUUUGCCCAAUAAUUUUUAUAUAUUCCAAAAACAUGCUCCGUGAAGUUUCAAGACUUUUGAAGUUGUGCAGAAUAGGUCUCUAAUAUUUGCUCAUUUUCGAGUCCAGAAUUCCAGCUACCGGCAUUCCCCCUCUUCAUGUAAACCUUGUAAAAUAAGAGAGAAUAUGCAUAAGUAUUGUGAUAUAAUGUGUAAUAACAGCCCAUAAUGCAAUAAAUAUCUAUAUAAAAGCAUGAUGCAUAAUGCACGUAUCAACUGCUACGGAACGGCUGGAACGGUUGCUCGCUCGGGGUCGGGCUAUUUUGGGCCAAAGAAAGUGAAGCUCACCCAGUCCAUGUCCCACUCGUCCUAAGCGAUCACGGCCAUGGCCCACCUUCCAUACGCGGCCCACAUGUCCAAAGAACUGCCGUGUCAGUAACUGAGUGGUCAUGGUCAACUGCUUUGACCUGACGACAAAGCUCCGUUUGGGCUUUUGUGAGAACGAGGCGAGUGGUGGAGGGGAAAAGUGAACGAAAGUUAGAUGAUAUGGGCAAAACUGAGCACAACUAAGCAACCAGAGGCACAGGGAAUAGAAAUCCGAAAAAAAAUAUGGACAAAAAACGAAAAACAUGAUACUAUGUUUUUUAUAAUUAGAUUCACAAAGACACGUACUCACAAUGACCAACUGUGGAGUAGUUGAGUGCAUUGAUGAUGGUGAGAUCGACAAGUGAAAUAUGGGUGCAUGUGGUACUGGUCAUGUUGGGCUUCGGAGCAACUACCUUGCCUUAGUUUUUCCCCAUGUCACAUUUUAAAAAUUCAUUGAUGCCAUAUUCAGAUCUACAUUUUGACUCUUCAUUUAAUUUAUAUGAAGACAUGCCUUUCGGGUAAAUAGCCAACCAUUACGUACAUAGCACUAAGUAAAGUAUAAACUAUAUUUCUAAAGUGGCUUGGCCGCUUUGGUGCUCCCGGAUCCGAUAGCGGAACGCCCAAGCGGAAUAUGUGUGUGCCGUGCUGCUGUUAUUUGGACUAUCUACUGUGAUACACAUCCAACCCUUUUUUAACCGUACCAGUGAUACAUGGAGUCAUCUGUGAGCUAUGAUUUUUUUUCGCCACACAUACAGCACCAGUAAUAUUGAACCACCGGAAUCCUAUUUCUAAUGAUCGCGCCAUACUAUUGUAGCACCGGAUGCAAAAAAUCAAUAAUACAAAAGCUAUAUUAGUCACGCCCAUGUUAUCACAUCGAGCUCGUCAAAUUCUAUGGAAGCACCGUCCAAACAUGGACCAAAUUAAUGUGUCAUAGUGUAGAUAUGUAUAGUAGCGUUGGAAUCAUUAAUGCGGCAACGCCAACCUCUGCUGCGAAUGUCUUAAAAAUGUGUCAUUUUCCUUCUCCGGGCUCUCUUCUCAUACACACUUCCCACCUAGUAUGCUGCAAGAAAUCCGGAUUCCCUACACCAACUUUGUAAUCUUCAAUAUACUAGUACGAGAUACUGAAAUCUAAUAGGAGUGCCAGGAAGCAUCUUUGUAUAGUUUCGAUGCAUAACGGUAGGAGGCAUGGGAAAAAUGGCAAUAUUAAGGGCACUGCAAAUUUGUGGAAGUUAGUCUCAGGAGGCUGUUUCUUAGAGCAUCUCCAGCCGCGUCCCCAAGAUGCCCCCAAGGCGUUUUUUUAGCGCCGGCGACCGAAAAUCAUCCCAGUUGCGUCCCAGGAUCUCAUUUAGCGCCGAUUUGGGCCGAAAUAAUAGCCGGCGAACCCGAGCCGAACCCAAGCGCCCGGGGGUCGCCUGGGGGCGCCGGCCGAAGCAAAAAGGGGCGUGGGGCCGCUCUGUCGGCGAGAGGAGACCCUUUUCCCGCCGUUUCCCCCUGCUUUCCCCCCAUCGGCUUCCCUCCCGUUCUCUAUUCCUCCCGCCAAUCUCUUCCUCCUCCCCUCCAGCCGGCCGCCAUGCCGCCAAAGAAGUACGUGCCCCCCCGCGCCGGGACGGAUGCCACUACCCAGCCGAAGCAGAGGGCGCCGCCGUCCAAGCCCCCGGGCAUAUCUAACGCCGACUGGAAGGCGGAAGUUUAGCGCCGGGAGGCUGUCACCACCAACCGACGGAACAGGGCCAACGCCAAGAAGACCCGGGACAGGGUGGCGCUCGUGGCUGCGGCGGUGGCAGAGCAGGAGGAUCGCACGGCCGAACAAGCUGAGGCGGCUCGCGCGGGGAUGAUGAAUCUACCCGGCGGCCAUGGCCCGUACACGUCCUGGAGCCAGAAAGAGUCGGGUCUCCGGUCGGCUUCUCGUCGUCGCCACAACCGUGGGGCUGCACGCCGUCGCUCGGCUAUGCCGACGGCGAGGUGCACGGCGGGUUCAAUCCCAACACCAGCUUCCCACAUGGCCACCCGGCCCAGCGCACGCCCUUGCCCGCCUUCGGCGGCAUGCAGUACCCCCCGUACUCCUACUCGCCACCGGCCUAUGCCGCCUCCCUGACGCCACCUCUCCCCCGUGCCGCGCUGCUCUUCUCACAAGCCUCCUCGUCGCAUCUCGGCGACACCGACGCGACGGAGGCCGACAUGGACGACAUCAUCAUGACCGGCUCGGCCGCCGCCGUCGCCUCCUCCGGGUUCACUGCCCAAGAUGAUACAAUGGACCUCAAUGACGACAUGGACGGCGAGCUCGACUACGGCAAGGAGGAGCUACAGGGGGAGGAGGAGGAGGAGAAGGAGUCGGCGCCUGCUCCGGCGAGGAAAGAGAACAAGAAGAAGAGGCGGGCGGCCAGGACCGGCGAGCCGCACGUCAAGUGGGCGUCCAAGCAGGACGAGUGCCUCGCCGAAGCGUGGAAAGUCGUCUGCCUCGACUCGGUCACCAGCACGAACCAGAUCGUCGACACGUUUUGGGAGCGCAUCAAGGCCGAGUUCGACAAGAGCAAGCUCGUCGACCCCUACUUCAAAGGCUUCUACAUGUAGCGCAGGUCGAAGGCAAUGGCGAACCAUUGGGGGCUCAUCCAAACGGUGUGCAACAAAUGGGUUGUCGAGGAGAUCGCGGCUCGCCCGGAGAGCGGCGCCAGCAUCGAGGGUCAGGUAUGGCACGCCGGUCUCUGUCAUUUCUUUUCGUUGUGUGCGCCACUGACUGUUGUUCCUUGACGCAGAUGGUGCGGAUGUUCGACAUGUAUCGCCAGGACAGGAGCACCGACCAAGAUUUCAAGUACCUCCACGUCUUCUCCCGGAUCGAGAAGUGCGAGAAGUGGGCUGAAGUCCGGCACACCCUCGCCAAGGCCAAGGAGACGUACAAGCCGGACACGCCGACGCCAGGCGCGGCCGACGGGCGCCCGGACGACAACAAAAGGGCCAAGUCGGCGAAACACACCGAGUCGGGCACCGCACGUGUGCAAGAGUCCAUCGAGCAUUGCCAUGCCGACGCCUAGGCCCGGGCCACCCAGCGGGAAGAGAAAACCGAGGCGCGGUGAUCGGCGUGAUGACAAACAGCGCCGUCAAGCUUGACCUGCUUCGGACCAACGUCGCCGCGAAGAAGAUGAACACCGACCUGGCUUUCCUGAUGGGGGGCGCGAACAUGCUCUGGAGCAACGGUGAGCAGCUCAAGGCGUGGUACCUAGCGGAGCGUGGCCUCAUCCUAAACCAGAUGUCGUCAACCGCGGCGCCAACUCCCACGCCGACGCCAACGCUGCCGCCAAGCCCGAGCGAUGAUGCCUCGAUGACGCCUAGCACAGAAGCCGCGCCGACACCGACUCCUCCGACGACGGAGGCCGACACCGCCGUUUGAUGCAUUGCCUACGCGUCCGUCCUUUCUUUUGCACGCCGAAAUUUUUAUUUGAUUGCCGAAUUGUGGCAAGUUGAUCGAUGAACUGUGGCGCUGAUUGAUAUCCCACAAGUAUAGGGGAUCGCAACUGUUUUCGAGGGUAGAGUAUUCAACCCAAAUUUGUUGAUUCGACACAAGGGGAGCCAAAGAAUAUUCUCAAGUAUUAGAAGUGGAGUUGUCAAUUCAACCACACCUGUAAGAUUUAAUAUCUACAGCAAAAUAUUUAGUAGCAAAGUAGUAUGGAAAUAGCGGUAACAGUGACAAAAGUAACACUAGUAGUAUUGUAGCAAUUGUAACAGCAGCAACGGAAAAGUAACUAAGCAAGGAUCAAUACGUGAAAAGCUCGUAGGCAUUGGAUCAGUGAUGGAGAAUUAUGUCGGAUGCGAUUCCUCAUGUAACAGUUAUAACAUAGGGUGACACAGAACUAGCUCCAUUUCAUCAAUGUAAUGUAGGCAUGUAUUCCGAAUAUAGUCAUACGUGCUUAUGGAAAAGAACUUGCAUGACAUCUUUUGUCCCACCCUCCCGUGGCAGCGGGGUCCUAUUGGAAACUAAGGGAUAUUAAGGCCUCCUUUUAAUAGAGUACCGGACCAAAGCAUUAACACAGUGAAUAUAUGAACUCCUCAAACUACGGUCAUCAUCGGUAAGUAUCCCGAUUAUUGUCACUUCGGGGUUAACGGAUCAUAACACAUAAUAGGUGACUAUAGACUUGCAAGAUAGGAUCAAGAACUCACAUAUAUUCAUGAAAACAUAAUAGGUUCAGAUCUGAAAUCAUGGCACUCGGGCCCUAGUGACAAGCAUUAAGCAUAGCAAAGUCAUAGCAAUAUCAAUCUUAGAACAUAAUGGAUACUAGGGAUCAAACCCUAAGAAAGCUAACUCGAUUAUAUGAUAAAUCUCAUCCAACCCAUCACCGUCCAGCAAGCCUACGAUGGAAUUACUCACGCACGGUGGUGAGCAUCAUGAAAUUGGUGAUGGAGGAAGGUUGAUGAUGAUGAUGGCGACGGAUUCCCCUCUCCGGAGCCCCGAACGGACUCCAGAUCAGCCCUCCCGAGAGAGAUUAGGGCUUGGCGGCGGCUCCGUAUCGUAAAAUGCGAUGAAUCCUUCUCUCUGAUUUUUUUCUCCCAGAACGUGAAUAUAUAGAGUCAGAGUUGAGGUCGGUGGAGCUCCAGGGGGCCCACGAGGCAGGGGGGCGCACCCCAGGGGGUGGGCGUGCCCCCACCCUCGUGGACAGGGUGUGGGCCCCUGAUCUUGAUUCUUUCGCCAGUAUUUUUUAUUAAUUCCGAAAAUAUUCUCCGUGAAGUUUCAGGUCAUUCCGAAAACUUUUAUUUCUGCACAAAAAUAACACCAUGGCAAUUCUGCUGAAAACAACGUCAGUCCGGGUUAGUUCCAUUCAAAUCAUUAAAGUUAGAGUCCAAACAAGGGCAAAAGUGUUUGGAAAAGUGGAUACGUUGGAGACGUAUCAACUCCUCCAAGCUUAAACCUUUGCUUGUCCUCAAGCAAUUCAGUUGAUAAACUGAAAGUGAUAAAGAAAAACUUUUACAAACUCUGUUUAUGCUUGUUGUUGUAAAUAUGUAAAGCCAGAAUUCAAGUUUUCAGGAAGGAUUAUGAACUAACCAUAUUGACAAUAACACUUAGGUCUCAUGUUUACUCAUAUCAAUGGCAUAAUCAACUAGCGAGCAAUAAUAAUAAAUCUCGGAUGACAACACUUUCUCAAAACAAUCAUAAUAUGAUAUAACAAGAUGGUAUCUCGCUAGCCCUUUCUGAGACCGCAAAACAUAAAUGCAGAGCACCCAUGAAGAUCAAGGACAGACUAAACAUUGUAAUUCAUGGUAAAAGAGAUCCAGUCAUAGUCAUACUCAAUAUAAACUAAUAGUAAUGCAUGCAAAUGACGGCGGUGCUCUCCAACUGAUGCUUUCUAAUAAGAGGAUGAUGACUCAACAUAAAAGUAAAUAGAUAGGCCCUUCGCAGAGGGAAGCAGGGAUUUGUAGAGGUGCUAGAGCUCAAGUUUUGAAACAGAGAUAAAUAAUAUUUUGAGCGGCAUACUUUCAUUUGAAGAGGUGCUACACACACUAUAGGCGGUUGCCAAAUAGAAUGGUAAAUUUUAUACUCCCCCACCACCAACAAACAUCAAUCCAUGCCUUGCCCGAAACAACGGGUGCCCUCCAACUAACAACAGUCCUAGGGGAGUUUUGUUUGCAAUUAUUUUGAUUUAAUUGAGCAUGGGACUGGGCAUCCCGGUACCAGCGAUUUUCUCUUGAAUGAGGAGCAGAGUCCACUCCUCAUGAGAAUAACCCACCUAGCAUGGAAGAUAUAGACAUCCCUAGUUGAUAUAACAAGAUGUGUGUGAUACGCGGCAAAUAGGUCUGUAAUCAGAAAAGUGAAGACCGAUAAUAACACAGACGAUUGAUUCUAAUAAGAUGUAUGUGAUAUACUCUGUCUACACAACAUAUAUUGGCCAUUGGGGGACAGGCGGUCAUCCGGAUACACCAUAAGGAUGCAAAGAGGCAUCCUAUAUCAGUAAGGACUAGCUAUUCCAUCACAACCAGUAGCUCAUGUAAGAGAACUCUCAAGUUAAGUGUGCUCAGGCUGGAGCAGCCAUCAGAUCGGUGACUGGAUGGGAAGUUGUGUUGAUGUUAAAUUAACAUAUAGGAUGGGUCGUAUCUGUCAAAUUAAAUGACUGAUAUGACCCAUCCCAUUAGUUAAUUUAACCUUGAGGUCUUUGUUUUUUAUUUUUUUAUUUUUUAACACAUGUUAAAGAAGGUCUACCGCAUUACUUUUUGACAAUGUGCGAUAUGUGGCAUACAGUUGAUCCAUCCGACCUGUUUGUGAUGCAAUAAGCCAUGUGUGUUGUGGGCAAACGCUUGCUAGUAUUCAACCGUUUGCGAUUGAUGAAUUCAUCACCGACGAGUUUCCUACUGUGGUCCUUGUUCAUCUGAUCAUCAUCUACUUCUUGUGCUAGCUCGAUAUUCCUUCUAUGCUAAGUUUCCAUUAAUUGAUGACGUUUUAUGAACACGCCACCGUUUCCCACCAUUCCCUCACCUGUUUCCCGCCAUCCAGCGAUAUUGCGCGUAAACCUAGGCGACGCACGACGCACGGAGGCGACAAGCGCAGCCUGUAGCACAUCCACCUUUUCCAAGCAUGCCAACCCACCAAAGCGCCGCCUCUGCCAUCAACCUCAUCGACGAGGAAAACGAGUAGGCGCCACGGCCCAUCGAGGCCUGAUGCGGCUUGAAGCUACGUCGGUAUUUCCCCAAAGAGGAAGGGAUGAUGCAGCACAUCGGCGGUAGGUAUUUCCCACAGUUAUGAGACCAAGGUUAUCGAACCUGUAGGAGAACCAAGCAACACAAUGUAAACAACCCCUGCACACAAAUAACAAAUACUCGCAAUCCGACGUGUAAAAGGGGUUGUCAGUCCCUUUCGGGUAGCGGCACCCCAAGAUAUGCAAACGGACGAGAAUAAAAUUGUAGUAGAUUGAUAGAUCGAACGCCAAAUAAAAUAAAUGAGAAUAAAUUGCAGCAAGCUAUUUUUCUAUUUUUUGUUUAAUAGAUAUGCAAAUAAAAGCAAUGGAAAAGUAGAUCGCAAAGGCAAAUAUAUGAGAAAGAGAUCCGGGGGCGUAGGUUCCAUUAGUGGCUUCUCUCGAGAAAAAUAGCAAACGGUGUGUAAACAAAUUACUGUUAGGAAAUUGAUAGAACUUCAAAUAAUCAUGACGAUAUCCAGGUAAUCAUCAUUAUAUAGGCAUCACGUCCAAGAUUAGUAGAUCGACUCCUGCCUGCAUCUACUACUAUUAGUCCACACAUCGACCGCUAUCUAGCAUACAUCUAGUGUAUUAAGUUCAUGGAGAAACAUAAUAAUGCAAUAACACUACAGGAAUCCUUAGUUGCAAUAGAUCAAGUUGUAGACAAGAUCUAUUAAUGUAGAAAUAGACCCCACCAUCUUAUCCUUAGUAGCAACGAUACAUAUGUGUCGGUUCCCCUUCCAUCACUGGGAUCAAGCACCGUAAGAUCGAACCAACUACAAAGCACCUCUUCACAUUGCAAGAUAAAUAGAUAAAGUUGACCAAACAAAACCCAAAUAUCGAAGACGAAAUACGAGGCUAUAAGCAAUCAUGCAUAUAAGAGAUCAAAGAAGAUUCAAAUAACUUUCAUGGAUAAAAAGAUAGAUCUGAUCAUAAACUCAAAGUUCAUCCGAUCCCAACAAACACACCACAAAAAACUUACAUCAUAUGGAUCUCCAAGAGACCAUUGUAUUGAGAAUCAAAAGAGAGAGAGAAAGGAAGCCAUCCAGCUACUAUCUACGGACCCGAAGGUCUACAAAGAACUAUUCACGCAUCAUCAGAGAGGCACCAAUGGAGGCGGUGAACCCCUUCGUGAUGGUGUCUAGAUUGGAUCUGGUGGUUCUGGACUCUGCAGCUGCUGGAAUUGAUUUUCGUCGACUCCCCUAGGGUUUCUGGAAUAUUGUAGUAUUUAUAGAGCAAAGAGGCGGUCCAGGGGGCACCCGAGGUGGGCACAACUCACCAGGGCGCGCCUGGGCCUCCUGGCGCGCUCUGGUGGGUUGUGCUCCCCUCGUAGCACUCCCCGGGCGCUGCCUUGGCCCAUUGGGUGUCUUCUUGUCCAUAAAAAAUCUUCGUAAAUUUUCGUUGCAUUUGGACUCCGUUUGGUAUUGAUUUCCUGCGAUGUAAAAAACAUGCAGAAAACACCAACUGGCACAUGGCACUAUGUGAAUAGGUUAGUACCAAAAAAUGAUAUAAAAUAACUAUAAAAUGAUUAUAAAACAUCCAAGAUUGAUAAUAUAGCAACAUGGAAUCAAAAAUUAUAGAGACGUUGGAGACAUAUCAAGGCCGAGGCGCUCUCCGGCAACGCGAUGGACAUCGCCGUGAUGCGCGUCAUCGCCAGAGUUGAGCAGACCUUUGGCACACGGCCCUUGAGCGUCGCGGAUCAAGAUAGGCAUGUCAGCGCUGACAGGUUGCAGCUCGCACACAACAUGAUCGAUGGUGCGCCGCAGAGCAAGCUAGGCGCUUCAGCGCCGAUAGGCUGCGGCUGGCCGCAAGUAGAGACCGUUGGAGCGCCGCAGAGUGAGAGGCGCGACGCGCCGCACAGCAAGAGCGGAUCCAUCGGCGCUUGUCUGCCGUAGACACGGCAUCGCAGCUGGGUACAUGUCCCGUCAGUACCUCCAUUCCUCGCCAGGAGUGGGCAGAGGCCCUCUGCGCCGUACUUGCACCAGAGGCCGGCCGCGUCAUACUUGCACCGGACGCCCGCCGCGCCUUUCGCAUGGGUCGUGUUGUUCGCCUUGUCCGCGGCACGCUCGAUGCCAACAUGCUUGUCGGUAGUCUCGACCGCCUCCUUGGCCCAGGUGUCCACCUAGGCGCAGUAGGGGAACAUGGCAGUCGCAUCCUCGAGCUGGUGAUCUUCGAUGAAAUAGCCGACUUGGAGCUCGAGAUCACGCUUCAGACGUACCGCGAGUGUAUCGACCGCUUGGACGAACGCCUGCACAAGUUCAGGCAGAGCCAAGAGCUACCAUAGGCAAGGGCUGCUGGUCAUGGUCUCAUGGACGCGUUUUAUUUUGUUGAGUCGCUUCGACAUGGAUAGCUAUGUAUUCACAGCAAUCAUAGUAUUGCUCUGUUAUCUGUUCUUUUUCAAUGUGUCUACUCUGUAUUCCGUUCUUAUAUGUUCUGUUUCAAUGUGUGUAUAUACGCUUUCCAUUCUGUAUAUGUGGAUGAUAACAGCUAGAUUCAAAUUAGUAUACAAAAAUAGAUAGAAAAUGAAAUUCAUUAUAUCUAUAUAUAAUGAAAAUAAAUAAAUAAAUAAAUAUAUAUAUAUAUAUAUAUAUAUAUUAAUUGUUCAUUAGUUCAUCACAUAAUAUAUAUAUAUAUAAUUAAUAUCAUCACAUAUACGUGAUGAUACUUAAUUACUAGGUACAAUGCAUAAAAUUGAAAACGAACAAUACUAAAACUAAUAAGCCCUCCUGGGCCAGUAUUCCGGCAGCCCCUCGCCAGCAGCUCCCUGACGACGUCUUCCCAGUGCGGAGGUAGUACUCCGCCUCCUCCGCCUCGCAGCACUUGACGUACCGAUCUGCCUCUUGCUGGUGGACGAGCGCGAACGACCUUGCCAUUUUGUUGGGCGCCCACCGGAGCUCCUCGUCGGUGGCACGCUGUAGCUUAUCGGCCCACCUCCAUGCAGCGACGAGGCGCCCAACGCCUUUGACCUUCCUCGCGAAGUACCGGUCUUCGUACACCUCCUCCGCACGUCGAUGCGCCUGCCCCCAAAGCUCCACCGCCUCCUUUUUCCAGGUGGCAUCACAGGCUUCACAGGCCGCCUAGUACCUGGCUUCCUCCUCCGCCAUCUCCUUCUUGAACGCCACUUGUUUGGCUUUCUCAGCCGGCGGCAGCGACUUCCACAGACAAAGAUUGUACUGGUCCCAAACCAAUCCAAAGUUGGGGGGCCCGGCGCAACCUCAUCGGGCGGCGGGUAGGGGUCCUCGUCACCGCUAUUCGAGUGAGCGUCCUUGGGGGGCGGCGACUCCUCGUCGGCGCGUGGGCAGACCGGCGGCGCCAUGACAGAGAUUUGAGAGAGAGAGAGAGAAGGCGAGCGAGGGGAGGAUGUAGAUGAGAACGCAGGCGGGACGACGUGGGCAAGGUAGUAUUUAUUGGCGGCCGGAAUCUAGAUCGACAGGAACAGUACACACACCAGUCGUCGGAAUUUACAAGUAGAGUAGUUUGAAUUACACACGAUUGCCGCAGCAAAAUCCGUGUGUGAACAUAAUAGCUGACGGUUUCCAAUACAGAACCGUGUUUGAUUAAUGAUCCCUGCCACUCACCUACCAAACCUCGAGCCGCGAGAUAGAGUGCCAAUGUGUGGGUGCCGGUUGUCUUGCCAGAUCUUUACAUUUUCUUUUUUGAACACCAGAUUUUUACAUCGUCUGAUGAUUUUUUAACUCACACACAAAUACACAAAAAUAUAAUUUUCAAACCGUUAUGGUUAGCCGUUGCAUGUAGAUGUAAUUCAAAUUUGAAUUACGGUCAUUUAAUGGCUAGAAAAUCACUUAAAUGUCUUUAAAAGGUCAAAUGACCCCUGAAUUUUUCCAAAUUUGCACAUGACAGUUGUAUUAGUGCACGUUAAACGUAGAAAAAAAUUUGAACGCCGUAACACGAAGCUAUCCCCCGUUCGUCAUCAAACAUGCAUUGUUCCCUCUCUGAACCACGAACCUUAUAGCGAGUUACUCCGGUUUGUGAGGAGGCUCUGUCCAAACUUCCGGUUUGUGAGGAGGCUCUGUCCAAACCACCUCAUCUUGGUGGCAUAACAUUACAUCAAGCAAGGUUUCAUAUUUUUCUGAUCAUUUUUUUAUUUUCGGGAAUUAAAAUGCCAAGACACUCCAUGCAUGUCCCCAUGCCGUGAGACCAAUAUGUUUGAAAAUUCCUUCUAUUUUACUGCACAUGAAAUUAACUCGCACAGAAGUACACAAAUAUUAUUUUUCAACCCGUUAGUGUUAGCCGUUGCAUGGAGAUGUAGUUCAAAUUCGAAUUACAAUCAUUAAAUGGCUACAAAAUCACUUAAAUGUAUUUAAUAGCUCAAAUGACCCCUGAAAUUUUCCAAAUUUUCACAUGGCAGUUGUAUUAGUGCACGUUAAACGUAGAAAAAAAUUGAAGGUCGUAAGAGAAAGCUAUCUCCCGUUCGUUGUCAAACAUGCAUUGUUCCCUCUCGGAACCACGAACCUUCUAUUGAGUUGCUCCGGUUUGUGAGGGGGGUGUGCAAACUUUCGUCAAACAGGCCAAUUUUUUUACCACAUCAUCUUGGUGGCAUGACAUUAUAUCAAGCAAGGUUUCAUGUUUUUCUGAUUAUUUUUUAAUUUUCUCGAAUUAAAAUGUCAUGGCACUCCAUGCAUACAUAUGCAUGUGUCAAUGCCGUGAGACCAAUAUUUUUAAAAAUUCCUUCUAAUUUACUGCACAUGGAAUUAACUCGCACACAAGUACACAAAUAUGAUUUUUCAAACCGUUAUGGUUAGCCGUUGCAUGUAGACGUAGUUCAAAUUUUAAUUACGGUCAUUUAAUGGCUAGAAAAUCACUUAAAUGUGUUUAAAAACUCAAAUGACCUCUGAAAUUUUCAAAAUUUUCACAUGACAGUUGUAUUAGUGCAAAUUGAACAUAGAAAAAAAAUUUAAGGCCAUAAUAGGAAAUUAUCUCCCAUUCGUCAUCAAACAUGCAUUGUUCUAUCUCAGAACCACGAACCUUCUAGUGAGUUGCUCUACUUUGUGACGGAGGUGUGUCCAAACUUUUGUCAAACACGCCAAUUUUUUUACCACAUCAUCUUGGUGGCAUGACAUUACAUCCAGCAAGGUUUCUUGUUUUUCUGAUUAUUAUUUUUUAUUUUUGGAACUAAAAUGCCAUGGCACUCCAUACAUACAUAUGCAUGUGUCCAUGUCGUGAGACCAAUAUGAUUGAAAAUUCCUUCUAAUUUACUGUAGAUAAAAUUAACUCGCACACAAGUACACAAAAUAUGAUUUUUCAAACCGUUAUGGUUAGGCGUUGCAUGUAGAUGUAGUUCAAAUUUAAAUUACGGCCAUUAAAUAGCUAAAAAAUCACUUAAAUGUCUUUAGAAGGUCAAAUGACCCCUGAAAUUUCCCAAUUUUUCACAUGGCAGUUGUAUUAGUGCAUGUUAAAUGUAAAAAAAAUUGAAAGCCGUAAGAGGAAGCUAUCUCUCGUUCAUCAUCAAACAUGCAUUGUUCCCUCUCGGAACCACGAGCCUUCUAGUGAGUUGCUCCGGUUUGUGAGGGGGGUGUGUCCAAACUUUCGUCAAACAGGCCAAAUUUUUACCACAUCAUCUUGCUGGCAUGACAUUACAUCAAGCAACGUUUCAUGUUUUUCUGAUCAUUUUUCAACUUUUUGGAAUUAAAAUGCCAUGGCACUCCAUGUAUACAUAUGCAUGUGUCCAUGUCGUGAGACCAAUAUGUUUGAAAUUCCUUCUAAUUUACUGUACAUGGAAUUAACUCACACACAAAUACACAAAUAUGAUUUUUCAAACCGUUAUGGUUAUAUAUUGCAUGUAGAUGUAGUUCAAAUUUGAAUUACGGUCAUUAAAUGGCUAGAAAAUCACUUAAAUGUCUUUAAAAGGUCAAAUGACCCCUGAAAUUUUCCAAUUUUCACAUGACAGUUGUAUUAGUGCAUGUUAAAUGUAAAAAAAAUAUUGAAGUCCGUAAGAGGAAGCCAUCUCUUGUUCGUCAUCAAACAUGCAUUGUUCCCUCUCGGAACCACGAGCCUUCUAGUGAGUUGCUCCGGUUUGUGAGGGGGGUGUGUCCAAACUUUCGUCAAACAGGCCAAUUUUUUUACGACAUCAUCUUGUGGCAUGACAUUACAUCAAGCAAGGUUCAAUGUUUUUCUGAUCAUUUUUUAAUUUUUUUGGAAUUAAAAUGGCAUGGCACUGCAUGCAUACAUAUAACAGCUAGACAUGAGGACUCACAAUUCUGGGGGAACUUCUAAAAUGCAGAGAACAUUUUCUGUCCCUGUGCAGAUUCAUAGUGGGGGAUGGAAAAAAUGUUCGAUUUUUGGAAGAUUGAUGGAUCGGAUCCAUAGCUCUAAAAAUAAGCUUCCCUAGACUUUAUUAUUUUGGUUUUGAUAAGAAUAAAACUGUUACUCAAGUUUUAGAGAAGAACUCUAAUUGGUGAUUCUAAAGAACUGUGGGAACUUAUUAAAGAGGGAUGUGCUUCAAUCACCUUGGCUGACAGGAAAGAUGAGAUUAAAUGGACACUUACUAAGGAUGGUAUAUAUUCUGUUAAAUCUUUUUACAGACACUUAAUAGAGAAUGGGAUCAAAUAACCCCAUCCCUUUAUGUGGCUGGCUCUUAGAAAUAGCAUUCUUGUCAAAGAUAACCUACUAUGCAGAGGUUGGAAAGGAGACAAAAAAUGUCCCUUUUGUGGGCGUGAUGAGAGUAUUGAUAACUUUUUUCUCACCUGCUCCGUAGCUGGCUUAUUGUGGAAUGUUCUGAAGUGUGCAUUUAAACUAAUAGACAUUCUAGAAAAUCUAGAUUCCUUGAUGAGAAUUUGGGUUAAAAAAGUUGGGAAAGUGGAAAGGGGUAUUGUGAUGGUAGGGGUAUCUGCCAUCUGCUGGACACUCUGGAAAUUGCAUAAUGGAACAGUGUUUGAGAAUAAUAGGAUGUAUGAUCCCUGUAUUCCAGUAAAUUUGUUUCUAAAAAAGUGAUAUGAUUGGAAUAUUUUGCAGGAACCACCCCCCUCCCCCCAAGAAGUGAGACGAUGGCAGCAGGAGUGAAGCAGGUGGGAAAGAUUGCUGAAGAGGUGUUCAAAGCGAUGCAUGGAUGGCGGCUGGGGACGGGGAGAAUCAUGGCAGUGUGAUCUCCCCCGACUACCUUUCAACGACGCGGCUCUGCCUACCUUCAUCCCCUUCUCCGCCUUUCCUUCUACAGUUAGCUCGUUCCCUUUUUUCCUUCUGCAGUUAGCUGAAGAUGCGCGGUUUAGAUGAGUAGGCUGAUUUCUUUUGGUUCUCUUGUAAGACUCGGUGAUUUCUGUUAAUGGAAAUCGGAGAGAUGAUCCUCUCUUUUAUAAAAAAAAAACAACAUCUGGAAUAAACUGUAUACUUUUAUGGUGUCAAGUAUUGCUCCCACAUGGACCAAAUUCAUAAAUUUAGGUUGUUGUUUGAUGUUGGAAUAAAUUGAUGGGCGUUAAUGCAUUUAGGGGAUGGUUGGAUGUUGUCAGGUUGGGCCCGGUGGACGGACCAAACAUACAUAUGCAUACGAUUCUAGCGGUGUGGAAUGUGGUUGAUAAGAGUGUGCACAAGAGAUUAAUAACAGGACUAAGAGACAUGUACGUAGUCAGUCCCUCACAAUGAUCGACCAGGGAGUAGUGUAGUUGAGUGCAAUGAUGACAGUGAGCUCGACCUGUGAACUACACAAAUCUGACGGUGCAUGUGAUCCUGUAGGUGUCGAAUCAAAUGCAUGUCCUUACUCUGUCCCAAAUGUUUAAUUUGAUACUGCUAUAGGGACUAUGUACCGUGAUACACAUCCAACCUUUUUUUUUUAACUGUAACAGUGAUACAUGGAGUCGUCUGUGAGCUAUGAAUUUUUUGCCACACAUCAAGCACCAAUAAUAUUGAACCACCUGAUUCCCAUUUCUAAUGAUCACGCCAUAAUGGCUCGGAUUGUAUUGUGCGACCUUGAUAAAAAAUCAAUAAUUACAAAGCUAUACUAGUCACGCCCAUAUUAUUUUGGUCGGCACAUCGAGCUCCUCAAAUCUUCCGCAAGCACCGUCCAAACAUGGACCACAUUAAUGUACCCCAAUGUAGAUGUGUAUAGUAGCGUUGAAAGCAUUAAUGCGGCCAACGCCAAUCUCUGCGGCCCAAUUCUUAAAAAUCUGUCAUUUUCCUUCUCCAGGCUCUCUUUUCAUAGACACUUCCCACCUUGUAUGCUACCAGAAAUCCGCAAUUCUAGCCUACCUCAACAUUAUAUUGAUGAAAAUACUAUUACAAGAUGUUGAAAUCUAAUCGGUGUGCCAUGAUGCAUCUUUCUAUAGUUUUGAUGCAUACGGGUAGGAGGCAUGGGAAACUUACAGUAUCGAGGGCACUGCAAUUUCUGCAAGUUAGUCUCACUUCAUGGUUUCUUAGGGCUACGAUCCCUAAAUUGAUAUAACCCUUGACCUUUUCCUUGGUCUGACAGCUUCUCGGCAACAAAAAUCUUGUAUGCGACGGAGGUGAAAUUACAAUAAGUCGGCUUAUAAAUGAUAAAGAAAACAUCGUGCAAGAAGAUGCCACUGUGCCUAGGCAGAAAGUAGAAGUCCAAUGUCUUGUCGUGUCCUCCUUGUAUUAUUUACUACCGAGACAUUAUCUGAGAUGUACUCCCUCCGUUCCAAUAGAAAUGUCGUGGUUUUAUUUAAAUUUAAGCUACACCAUAAAUAUUUGUACUUCAAUUAAAAUAUAAGUUCAUAUUUGCUAGCGAAGCUCCAAAGUUAACCAAAUUCAUAUACUAAUAUGUCUUCAGAAAAAUAUAUAUUUUUAGAUGGAAAAAGAAUGAUUACUAAUUAUUCCGUUGCACGAUAAAGGCAAGUGGUUGACGACCAAGUAUCCACUUCCAGUGAGACAGAACAUAGCUUAGUUUUCUUAUUUUUAUUUUGUCAAAGCUAAAGACUCGUAAGUCAAAAAAAGAAGAGCUGAAGACACUUAGUAAGAUGAACUGAAAUUACAUAAAUAAUUGAUAAAAUAGAUGCUACAUUGAGGGUUGAGACACUUACACAAUGCCAUACAUUUUUUGAUAUUCAAUUAAAAUUUCAAGAAACAGAAAAAAAUCUUGUAAUGAUAGUAGUACUAUAGGCAGUGAAUAAACUUCUCAAGUAAGUGAUGCAAAUAACUUGUUGCUGCAUGCAUGCUAUUUCUUCUUCUUUGUACAUCACAUUAUGUGUGUUCUUUCCAAAGAGGUCUCGCGAUUCUAGUAACUCAAAAACACAUAAGUUCAUGUAAAAACUUUCCUCCUCCUCCUCCUCCUCCUCCUCAUCAUCAUCAUCAUCAUCAUCAUCACCAUUAUUAUCAUUACUACUACUUGAUUUGUGGAUGUGUGUCUGGCCCAAUAGAAAGAGUGUGGUUGUGUGCGUUGGCGGACCAAAGUUUGAAUCAUGUGGGCUUCGUGGAUUAAAACUUGAUGUCCCACACCUUCUUAAUUAAAAUGCCACUAGGGCUGCCCCAUUGAUCUAGUUCUUAUUAAAUUUUAUUUUACGAGAAACGAAAGGAACAUCAUCUCUUGUUUCCUCACGAAAUACCAGAUGCAUGUCUUUUCUUUCACAUGGAUAUGUGGGCACCACACUCAGAAACAAAAUUGGUCGGUCAACAUUAAUUUAUGUUAUUUAUCGAUCAAGCUAAGUUGGCAUGAAAAUGGCAAAACUUCGAUCUAAAUGCAUACAUACAUUCAUCCUGGCAAAAUUUAUUUACAAUGUUUCUACAAAUAAACAUCCUAAAUUACCAGUUUACCACAGAGGAAAAGGUGCACGUGAGUCAUCUCAUAAAUUAGCAACAAAUGGCAUUGUUCCCUUCAUCCACUUGGAGCAAUAGUUGUUAAUUUUCAUGCGCAAGUACUUCACCGGUUCCAGCACGAGCGUGGCCGGAUUCCAGCACGGUGGCCUUAGAGCUUCCAGCAUGGCGCAUCGAUGGUUCUAGCAUAAUGAUGGUUCCAGCAUGGGGACCUGCCUCCUUGCAGCACUACGCAUCGCCAGGUCCAGAGCGCCGCCGUUUGUGGCCAUGGAUCGUGGGUGGAUAGACUAAGGGGAAAGUUCAAGGGGCGGCGCUGGCUAAUCGGAGUGGCUUGCUCGUUGGCACGGAUCAGAGGAAAAAGAGGGAGGGAUUUCAUGGCGGAUUGGGAUUUGGGAGGAGAGAUGCAACGCAUGGGGGAGGAGAGUGUGUAGAGGAUAAGCUUUCUCGAAAUAAAAAGCGGUGGUGGGAGAUGAGCUGUGUGUGUGAGCGUGUGAGCGUAGCUGGGAAAGCGACCGGCCGAGAGUUCGGCCGGCGCGUCGAACCCAAACGAUUCCUGAAUUUAUUUCGGGGAUUAAAACUUGACGUCUCACAGCUUCUUAAUGAAAAUGCUACGGGGCCUCUCCCAUUGGUCUAGUUUUUUUAUUAAAUCUUGUUUUACGAGAAAGGAAAGGAACAUCAUCUUUUGUGUCCUCACAAAAUACCCAUGCAUGUCCUUUCUUUAACAAUGGUAUGAGCGCACCACCCUCAAACAAAAUUGAUCGUUCGACAUCUAUUUAAGUUAUUUAUUGAUCAAGCUAACGGCAAAACUUUGAUCAAAAUGCAUAUAUACACACGUCCUGGUUAAUAUAUAAACAAUGUUUUUACAAAUACACAUCCUAAAUUACAAGAGAGGAAAAAGGUGCACACGAGGCCUCUCAUACAUUGGCAACAAAUGGCAUUGUCCCCUUAGUCCUAUUUGAGUGAAUAUUUUUUAAAUUUUCCUGCGCAAGUACUCAUUGCCAUUCUCCACUCGGCUUUCUUCUGUUGUAAGUGGAUUCAUUUUUUAGAGCAACUUUCGAUGGUUUCGUAAUUACCAUUUCAUACUCCCUGAUCCAUUGCUAGCAAAAAUAGAGUAUAUUGUAAGUACAUCAUGACCAAGAGUGCUCCAAUUUUUCAUUGGCGUACUUGCUAACAAUUGGUGCUUAAUUAAUUACAAUCUUGCAUGAUGAUCUUUCCUGUAUGUGGUUUGAAAUUUACCAAAACCCAUCUAGAAAUUUUUUGUGGUGAAUCGGAACAUGGUGAUUCGAGCAGUCCCAGAGACCUGAAGUUGUUUACAUUUGGCCAGACGAUCUAUGUUGUGGGUGCGUUUUUCAGAAAUAUACCACCACUCCAAUUUCUUAGAAACAAUUACCAGUAGGAGUUUUCAUUGGUGGUUGCAUUCACUAAAUUUCGGUGUCGUCUCUCACAGUUUUUGGGUGUGUUUACUGGUGGUUGCAUUGUUAUCUUUGCGUUUGUUAUGCUGGUAUCUGGUAUCUGGUGUUUAUGGAUAUCGCUUUAGUAUCAAUUUCAGUUCGGUUUGUUAUAGUUUGUAAUAGGAGGAGAUCAUGAUUUCUUUGGAGGGGGCGGCCCCAAUUUCCUAAAAAACAAAAAGGUAGUGUUUGUAAGAGGAACUGAAACAAGCGAAAUGUGAUUGUUCCAUUAUAGUAAAUAACAACGCAUGCCUACAUUUUGGUUGGAGCAAGAAACAGGAAUCUAAUGUUUUGCCAGCCAUGCAUGUGUAAUAACGACGCAUGCGAGUACUGCUGAAUAUAUGAUCCAUAAAUCAGAAGUGCACAUGGUACAAAGUACAACAACCUCAUGUAUCUCCUCAAUGGGAGAGAAGUAACAACCAAACAUCGAUACAAUAGUGUGACCGGCCAUGCAGAACUGGCUCGACAUACAUACUCCUCUCUGUCUCACAUGAACAGCAUUUAUUCGUAUAUAUGUGUGUAUGUGUGUGUGUGUGUGACCCGAACAUAGUUAGUGUCGAUGGAUGGCACUAUAGGCGGCGACCAUGGUGGCCAGUGGUUGAUCAGCGAAUCUUAGAGCAGUCCACGGAUGAGCUAAUGGCGUAGGGGAUGCUGACGCCGCACUUGGAGGGGAUGCCUGCGGCCUUUCCAGCGUUGAGCCCACCAGCAGCACUCUUAAUGCACUUGCACGCCGCUUGCUUGUCAGCGGUGCUCCGCGCUGCGCCGGCCAGACUCCUGACACCACUGCAGCAGGCCGCAGGUGGGCUGGAGCCGCUGCCGCGUGCAUAGGAGAUGCAGGGGCUCAAGGCAGAGCUCACCUGGCCACAGGAGAUUGCAGCGUCUGUGGCUGUGAGGACCAUUGCUGCCACGAGGGUGAACAACACGAGUUGAGCAGCUGCAGCACGGGCCAUCUUGAUCAAGCUAGCAAUAGUAGUAGUGCUGAGCUCAGAUGUAGAUGAUGAGAUGGAUGGACUUGCUAAG